UACAGAGGGUGCAAACGUUGCUCGGAAUCAUUGGGCGUAAAGCGCACGUAGGCGGCCCAGCAAGUGGGGAGUGAAAGCCCUCGGCUUAACCGAGGAAGUGCUUUCCAAACUACUGGGCUUGAGUACUGAAGAGGGUCGCGGAAUUCCCGGUGUAGAGGUGAAAUUCGUAGAUAUUCGGAGGAACACCAGUGGCGAAGGCGGCUCACUGGUCCAUUACUGACGCUGAGGUGCGAAAGCGUGGGGAGCAAACAGG
rnacentral:rRNA from 1 species